rnacentral:rRNA from 1 species
CAGUAGCCACGGUAAUACGUAGGGUGCAAGCGUUAAUCGGAAUUACUGGGCGUAAAGCGUGCGCAGGCGGUUAUAUAAGUCAGAUGUGAAAUCCCCGGGCUCAACCUGGGAACUGCAUUUGAGACUGUAUGGCUAGAGUGUGUCAGAGGGGGGUAGAAUUCCACGUGUAGCAGUGAAAUGCGUAGAUAUGUGGAGGAAUACCGAUGGCGAAGGCAGCCCCCUGGGAUAACACUGACGCUCAUGCACGAAAGCGUGGGGAGCAAACAGGAUUAGAUACCCCCGUAGUCCCUGUCUCUUAUAC